GACGAACGCUGGCGGCGUGCUUAAUACAUGCAAGUCGAGCGGAAAGGCCCGGCUCUUGUGGCGUGCUCGAGUGGCGAACGGGUGUGUAUCACGCGUGUAACCUCCCCUUGACUUUGGGAUAACUCCAGGAAACUGGGGCGCUAACCGGAUAUGAGCUCCUGCUGCAUGGUGGUGGAUGGAAAGAUUCGGCGGUUCUGGAUGGACUCGAGGUUUAUCAGCUUGUUGGUGUGGUUGUGGCUUACCAAGGCUUUGACGGGUAGCCGGCCUGGGAGGGUGACCGGGCACAAUGGGACUGAGAGAGGGACCAGAAGGGUACGGGAGGCAGAAGUGGGGAACAUUGCGCAAUGGGCGGACGCCUGAUGCAGCGACCUCGGGUGCGGGAUACCGGCUUUUGGGGGAUAAACCGCUUUCGACUGUAACGAAGAGUGAGUGACGGUAAUUAGUCAGAAAGCAACGGCUAACUACGUG
rnacentral:rRNA from 1 species